CUGAGUCUCUCGGCAAAAAAUACUAGCACCUCACCAAGUGUCAGUGUCUCCUCAUUCUACCUCAUCCCCUUCCCCUCAGCCCCUAAGUUUCAGCCCUUUCAUUUUCGCCGACGCCGUCUCAUCCUUUCAGGAACCCCUGACACGACGUUUUGCUGGAGGCUGGUCCCCGGCAAGGCCCCAUUUUGAAUUCUUACUUAAGAUGGCAAAUACCUCAAUAGUAAUCAUGAUUCACAGAUCUCUUGUGAGGAUCAGCGUUCAUCUCCAGACAAUGCAACCGUUUUCCACUUGAGCUGAAAAGAUGGAUCACUGGGACCUUAACACCUAAACACUUGUUCUCGAUCACACCAUGUCCCCCACUGUGCUCCUCUUCAAAGUCGCUCCUAGCCCAGUGUUCCUCAGAGACUAAGCAAUUGGAUUCAAGGAAUGAAUAAGUGAAUAUUUAUUCUUAUGCAGGAAUCUUGCCACAUUCUAUUCAUUUUCUUCGUGCAGCCAACCGAAUUUCAUCUUAGCAAGCAAUGAAUGCUCUAACCUUUAUGUGAUAGAGAUAAGAGCAGAGAUUCAGAAGUUAAAGAACUUAUGCAGAGUCAAUAUUGGUAAGUAGCAAAACAGGC